rnacentral:rRNA from 1 species
CAGUCGCCGCGGUAAAACGGAGGGUGCGAGCGUUGUCCGGAAUUACUGGGCGUAAAGAGCUCGUAGGUGGUUUGUCGCGUUGUUCGUGAAAACUCACAGCUCAACUGUGGGCGUGCGGGCGAUACGGGCAGACUUGAGUACUGCAGGGGAGACUGGAAUUCCUGGUGUAGCGGUGGAAUGCGCAGAUAUCAGGAGGAACACCGGUGGCGAAGGCGGGUCUCUGGGCAGUAACUGACGCUGAGGAGCGAAAGCGUGGGGAGCGAACAGGAUUAGAUACCCGUGUAGUCCCUGUCUCUUAUAU